UAUUUAUAUAUACUUGCUAUCAGUUUUGUUGGUGAUUUUAGUAUCACCCAUGAUUUUAGUAGUAAUGAGAUUUACUCUAGGCCGAUGCAAUUAUGCGUUAAAGCUUGGAAACGAGUUAGGAGUAGUGCGGAGUGCACGCUCGUAGAGCCAACGUGUAAUUGACUGCAAGUAAUUGAAAACUGGGUUCCAAGGGGCGAAGCCGUUAUUACCGUUUUUGUUGAAAAGGUAUGACUUUUGAACGUUUGAACCUUCCCAACCGUUAUUACCGUUUUCUUGAAAAGGUAUGACUUUUGAACGUUUGAACCUUCCCAACCGUUAUUACCGUUUUUCUUGAAAAGGUAUGACUUUUGAACGUUUGAACCUUCCCAACCGUUAUUACCGUUUUCUUGAAAAGGUAUGACUUUUCGUUUUCAGUUUUCGUUCUCCUAUAAAAGGGGGAAAUCUGGCCUCGGUUUAGGGUUACACAAAAAAAAAAACCAUUCUACGUUCCAGAAUCUUUCUUUUGCCAGAAACAUUCUUUCUUCAAGAAUUAUCCCCACAAAGAUUUCGUGAACCCAGGCAUAAAUAGGGUCGAAAUACUUUGUUCGGAAAGUGAACGAACACGAUUCUUCGAAGAUUAUCCAGGAUUAUCAAUUAAUUAUC